CACUGAGCCAAUCCGUACUUGUUUACAAUUAAUUACGUUAGAGUUUUGCUUUUAGUUUCAAACAAAAACAAAAAGAAAAGAGCGUUGCAGAUUGUUUGUAAGGUUUCUAUUCUGCUUUAAAGUUAGUUGUUUCUCAUGUCGAUCGUACAACCCUAAAAAUCAAGUUCCAGAGCGUUUCUAUGUUGUUGAUUGUUUGUCUUUUACUUUGAGUCUUUAAAUUUUCCUUUGAGAUUUGUUGUUCUGAUUCCCAGUUAGAAUAUCUUAUUUUGGAGCUCAUAAAACCCAGAAAAUCCGACCAAAAAAAUCUAAAAGAAAAAUGAAGAAAAUGUUUCAUAUUGUUUGCUUUUUGGUUUGAGUGUUCUUUGGCUUAUAAGAUUCCAGUUAUUUUCGAGCUCAUAUAACAUCUCAAAACCGAAAAAGAAAAAGAAACAAAGAACUGUUGGGCUGAUACCUGGUGAAGGAACUACCAUCAAUUUCAGUAUUCACUCUCUUCAUUUGAAGUAUUGGAUUGGAGUUUCCUCAACAAGAGAGUCUUAAUGGAUAUUCUCAUUUCCAUUGCUGGAAAAGUAGCGGAGUAUACUGUUGAACCUAUUGGACGACAAGCAGGUUAUUUAAUAUUCUACAAGGACAAUUUCAAGAAGCUAGAUGAUCAAGUCAAGGAGCUCGAGGAUACAAGAGUAAGAUUGAACCACUCGGUUGAAGACGAAAGAAGAAAUGGAAAAGAAAUAGAAAGAGAUGUGCAGAACUGGCUGGAGAAGGUGAAUGAGGUCAUUGAAGAGGCAAAUCAGCUUCAGAAAGAUCCUGGUCGUGCAAGGGUGGGGUGCUCUGGAUGGUCAUUCCCCAAUUUGAUUUUACGACAUAAACUUAGUAGGAAAGCUUCAAAGAUAGAAAAUGAGGUUGUUGAGGUACAGGGAAAAGGGAAAUUCAGUCGAGUUGGUUACCUUCCUCCUCUGGAUGGAGUAGGUUCAACUUCAAGCACAGGUGGUAACGAAAAGCUUGAGACAAGAGAGUCAAUUAAGGAGGACAUUAUGCACGCUCUUAGAGACCCUAAAGUACACAACAUUGGGGUCUAUGGGCUAGGCGGUAUGGGUAAGACCUAUAUGGUGAUGGAAGUUGCUCAAAUAGCCACACAAGACAAAUUGUUUGAUAAAGUAGUUAUGGCCAAUGUAUCUAAAACUCCAGACCUUAGAACAAUUCAAGGGGAGAUUGCGGAUUUGUUGGGUUUUCGAUUUUAUGAGGAGACUGUUGUUGGUAGGGCAUCCCGCUUAAGGCAGAGAAUUAAAGCAGAGAAAACUAUCCUUGUCAUUCUUGAUGAUAUUUGGACCAAACUUGAUUUGAAGAAAGUGGGAAUUCCUUCUGAGGAUGAACAUAAUGCUUGUAAGCUAUUGAUGACUUCUAGAAAUCAGGAUGUGUUGGUCGAAAUGGAUGCUAAACCGAAUUUCAAAGUUGACGUUUUGAAUGAAGCAGAAACAUGGAAGUUAUUUCGAUUCAUGGCUGGGGAUGUAGUUAAGGAUAUCAAUUUACAUGAUAUAGCAACUCAAGUGGCAAAAAAAUGUGCAGGUUUUCCUCUUCGGCUGGUAACGGUAGCACGAGCAUUGAAAAAUAAAGAUAUUCAUGCUUGGAAUGAUGCAUUAAGGCAACUAAAAAGUGUUGAUCAUUGGGAGGUGGAUGCAAUGACUUACUCUGCUUUGGAGUUGAGUUACAAAUCAUUGGAGAGCGAUGAAAUGCAGGUACUCUUACUUUUUGCUGUACUGGAUUCCUCCAGUGUGGAGUACUUAUUGAAAGUUGCAAUGGGUUUGGAUAUAUUCAAGCCUAUAAACACUGUGAAAGAUGCAAGACAUAGAUUUUAUAAAAUAAUUGGAUCCUUGAAGGCAUCUUGCCUAUUGUUUGAAGAUAACACACGUGAGCAUAUCCAAAUGCAUGACCUUGUUCGUGAAGUAGCUAUCUACAUAGCUUCAAGAGAUCAAUAUGUAUUUUUUGUGCAACCGAAGACUGAGUUGAAAUGGCCAAUAAAGAAUUUUCUAGAAAGGUGCACACAGAUCAUCUUAGAUAAUUGUCAUAUUCAUGAGCUUCCUCAAAGGUUAGAUUGUCCUAACGUGAAGCUUUUUAGCUUGGAUAGUGCUAAUCGUUCUUUAGAAAUCCCAAAUCCUUUUUUUGAGGGAAUGGGAAGCCUCAAAGUGUUAGAUUUAACAUGGUUGAACUUGUCUUUGUUACCCACUUCUUUUCAGUCCCUAACUAGGCUUCAAACAUUGUGUUUGGAUCAAUGCAUUUUGGAAAAUAUGAAUCAAAUUGGAGCUUUGAAAAAUUUAGAAAUUUUUAGCCUUUGGAAAUCUUCGAUGACGAAAUUGCCAAGAGAAAUAGGGCAAUUGACUCAUCUAAGAAAGCUUGAUUUAAGCUAUUCUGGUAUUGAAGUCUUCCCACCCAACAUCAUAUCAAGCUUGACUAAUUUGGAGGAGUUGUGCUUGGGAAAUACAUCCAUUAAGUGGGAGGUUGAGAAUUCAGCUAACCAAAAUGAAAAUGCUAGCCUUGCUGAGCUUCGACAAUUGUCUAACUUGACUGCUCUAGAAUUACAAAUUCGCGAGGCUUCGAUUUUGCCAAAGGAAUUGAUAUUUGAGAAGGUAGAACGAUAUAAAAUUGUUAUCGGAGAUGUAUGGGAAUGGUAUGACAUUAGGAAUGUAAGCUUGAAAACAUUGAAACUCAAACUUGGUACCAAUAUACAUUUAGAGCCCGGGAUUAAAGCAUUGAUUAAAAGGGCUGAGAAUUUGUACUUGGAUGAUGUAGUUGGAAUUUCAAAUGUUCUUUAUCAAAUGAAUAGGGAAGGAUUUCCAUUGUUGAAACAUCUCCAUAUCCAAAAUAAUGCUAAAAUGAUGCACAUUGUUGACUCAAUGGGUAGGAAUCAAGUGAAGGUUUCGUUUCUCAACUUGGAAACAUUGGUACUUCAGAAUCUUAAAAACAUGGAGAAGAUAUGUCAUGGCCCACUUGCAGUUAAUUCUUUUGGCAAGCUUAGAAUCAUCAAAGUUAAAAAUUGUGUCCAAUUAAAAUAUCUUCUCUCCUUUUCAAUGGUGGAAGGACUUUCCCAACUUUCAGAGAUUGAAGUUUGUCAAUGCAAUUCUAUGAAGAAGAUAGUGCUUGUAGAUUGCGAUGCAAGCGCAGAUAAAAAUAAAAUUGAGUUUCUUUCACUGCGUUCUUUGACUUUACAACAUUUGCAAACUCUUGAUAAUUUCUUCUCUUAUGAAUUGACCUCCUCCAUAACCAAGCAUCAAUGGUUGCAGACUAGUGUUCCUGUAUCGUUUUUUAGUUCCCAGGUUGCAUUCCCUAAUUUGGAUACCCUUAAGUUGAGCUCACUCAAUUUGAACAAAAUUUGGGAUGACAGUCAGCAUUCUGUUUCCAAAUUGUCAAACUUGAUUGUGGAGAAUUGUGGUGGACUAAAGUACUUGUUCUCAUCUACCGUGGUUGGAAGUUUUAUUAAUCUCAAACGGCUUGAAAUUAGUAAAUGUCAUUUGAUAGAUGAGAUAAUAGCCACUAGAGAGAGAAACAAUGGUACUGCUUGUGCUUCACUCAAUGAGGUUCGAUUCUCCAAACUGGAGACAAUCAUAUUGAAGGACAUGGAAAGCUUGGAGACGAUAUGGCACUGCCAAUUUGAAACAGUGAAGACGUUGCAAGUCAGAAACUGCAAUAAAAUUGUAGUGGUUUUUCCUUCUUCAAUCCAGGAAACAUACCAUAACUUAGAGAUGCUAGCGGUUACAGAUUGUGCUUUAGUGGAAGAGAUAUUUGAAUUGACUUCGAAUGAAAAGAGCAGUAUAGAGGAUGGAACACAACUGAAAAGCAUUACUUUAGAAGAAUUGCCAAAGCUGAAAAGGACAUGGAGUAGGGAUCCUGAAGGAAUUUUUCAUUUUCAUAAUCUAGAAAACGUAUAUCUAAAAAGUUGUGGAAGCUUGGACUAUCUAUUUCCAUUUUCUGUUGCCACUCACUGCUCACUUCUCAAAGAACUUUUUAUAAUGUGGUGUGGGAACAUGAAGGAAAUUGUUGCAGAGAAGGAAGGAUCCAUGUGCACAACUCCCCUAUUUGAGUUUCAUGAACUAAAUAGUCUAUUGCUUUGGGGCUUACACAAACUCAAGGGUUUCUAUGCUGGAAGUUAUACUUUAGCAUGUCCAUCUUUGAGAAAAAUAGAUGUUUUUAGGUGUGCAAAAUUGAAUUUAUACAAGACUCUGUCCACAAAUACUGAUGGAAGGUUUCUAGAUGGUAAACUCCCUGUUACUGUGCAGCAGUCACUUUUCAGAGUCGAAGAGAUGAUUCCAAACUUGGAGAAGUUGAGAAUAAGCUACAGGGACGCUAACAUGAUACUGCAAGCCCAAAAUUUAGGUGCCCUCUUCACCAAAUUGAAAUAUCUUGGGCUCACCGAUUGUAGGGACGAAGAGCCUUCUUUUCCUGAUUGGUUUCUCCAAAAUGUGUGUACCCUUGAGGAGCUCGUUGUUGGAUGUAGUUCCUACAAAAAGAUAUUUCAAGAUGAAAGACUAGUAAGUGAAAAAACUUACCCACGGCUCAAAAGGUUGACACUGUAUCAAUUACCUAAACUUCAACAUAUCUGUGAAGAAGGAUCCCAAAUUGACCCAGUUCUUCAGGUUCUUGAAUACUUAGAUGUUGAUGAAUGUCAUAAUUUGACAAACUUGCUACCUUCCUCUGUUACUUUUAGUCACUUGACGUAUUUGGAGAUAACAAAGUGCAGUGGGUUGAUAAAUUUAAUCACAUCUCCUACGGCGAGAAGCUUAGUCAAACUGACAACAUUGAAGGUAAAAGAGUGUAAUUCACUUGAAGAAAUAAUAAUAGGAAAGAGAGAAGAAUAUGACAUUGUAUUUAUUAGUUUGGAAAUAUUGAUGUUGGAAAGUUUGCCAAAUCUUAACAAAUUUUGCUCUAGUAAGUGCUUUUUGAGGUUUCCAUUGCUGGAACAAGUAGUUGUGAGAGAAUGUCCUCGCUUGAAGAUUUUCUCUGUGGAAAAUACAAGCACACCAAAUCUUCGAAAAGUGAAUGUGGCAAAAAAUGAUGAAGAAUGGCAUUGGAAUGAGAACUUAAAUGAUACGAUAAAGAAAAUGUUUGAAGAUAAGGUGGCAUUUUGUAGUUUCAUGCAUUUGAACUUAUCUGAAUAUCCUGAGCUGAAAGAGUUAUGGUAUGGCCAUCCUCAAUGCAAUGUAUUCAGCAGUUUGACGUCUUUAGUGGUUCAUAAAUGUGAUUUUUUAUUGGAUGUACUCUUUCAACCAAAUUUACUGAAUGUGCUUUCGAACUUGGAAGAACUAGAUGUAAAAGAUUGUAGUUCAUUAGAAGCUGUGUUUGAUGUGAAAGCUGAAUUUGCUACAGAAAUUUUAGUGAAGAAUUCCACACUGUUGAAAAAGUUAACACUAUCUAAUCUUCCUAAACUGAAGCAUGUGUGGAAGGAAGAUCCCCAUGGAACUGUUAGCUUUCAGAAUUUGUGUGAAGUAUCUAUUAUAGAAUGCAAAAUCUUAACAAGUCUCUUUCCACUCUCAAUAGCGAGAGAUAUCAAAAACCUUCAAGAUCUUCAAGUAACUGACUGUGGGGUUGAAGAAAUUAUUGGCAAGGAAGAAGGAGAUGAGGAGAUAAUUAAAUUUGAGUUCCCUCAUUUGACAUCCCUUCAACUUAAGCAUUUGCCUAAACUCAAGGCUUUCUUUUCUGGGAUCCAUUCUCUACAAUGUAAAUCCUUGAAAAUAAUAAAGGUGUUCACGUGUCCAAAGUUGGAGCUAUUUAAGACACAGCCUAUGGGCUACCCAGAAAGAACUACAGAUGACAAACUCUGUCUCUCAACUUAUCAACCUCUUUUCACAAUUGAAGAGGUACUUCCUAAUGCAGAGAGGUUGAUGCUGAAUAACAAAGAUUUUGACAUCUUAUUGCACAACCAAUAUUCAGGGAAGCUAUUCAGCAAACUUAAAUCUAUUUGGGUGUCCGAAUUCACUUAUGAAGAAGCUCCUUUUCCGUAUUGGUUUCUAAAAAAUGUACCAAAUUUGGAAGAGCUAGCGGUUCAAUGGAGUUCCUUCACAGAGAUAUUCCAAGACGAACCACUUAUAGGUGAGGAAAGACAAAUCAAAAUUAGCACAAGGCCUAAAAAGUUGACAUUAUGGGAACUCAAUAAACUUCAACAUAUAUGCAAGGAAGGAUUCCAAAUUGACCCCGUUCUUCAAUGUCUUGAAAGCAUACAUGUUUUCCAAUGUUCCAGUCUGAUAAAUUUGGUGCCUUCCUCUGUUACCUUUAAUUACUUGACUAAUUUGGAGAUCACAAACUGCAUUGGGCUCAUAAAUUUGAUAGCAUGCUCAACAGCAAAGAGUCUGGUCAAGCUCACAACAAUGAAGAUUAAAGGGUGCGAUUUAUUAGAGGAUGUAGUGAGUGGAAAAGAAGAUGAGACAAACAAUGAGAUUGCAUUUUUCAAUUUGCAAACUCUGGAACUUAUUUGUUUAGCAAGUCUCCGCAAGUUUUGCUCAUGUAAGUGCUUCAUUAAGUUUCCAUUGUUGGAAAAAGUUAUUGUAAAAGAAUGUCCUCGAAUGGAGAUUUUUUCUUUGGAAGACACCAGCACACCAGAUCUUCAAGAAGUACAAACUGAGGAAAAUGACGAAAAAUCUCGUUGGGAUGGUGACCUGAAUGAAACAAUAAAGAAUAUGUUUAAAGAUAAGCUAAGGUUGCAUGUUACAGAUUCCAACAUUUGAACCUGUCUGAAUACCCAGAGCUAUAGUAUUUGAGCCAUACAGGAAGGAGGACUUAAGGGCGCGUAAGAGAUGAUGCUGUUUUUGCUGCUGGAUGAGACUUUAUAUCUAAGGUUAUAAUAGAAGGCCACUUGUAAAUAUAUUUGUAAUUAGAAUUUCAUGUUCCCCUGAUUUGUCAUCUAUAAGCAGGUGACAAAAUCAGGUGAUCUAGUGUGUACUUAUGUAAGCCAAUGUGCAUUGGCGCUUAUGUUAGAACAAUGUAAGCCACUUUGAUGUACCACCAAAUCUUAAUGUGAUAUAUGUACGAUAAGCAACUUCUUACUGACGUAUAUGUUAGUUAUGUGUAAGUGUAAUAAUUUCUGCAGCAAUUAAGGGUAUUAAAUGAUGAAUGAAGAGAAACGAAAAUGGGGGAUUUGGCUGCUGACAAGAGAGGGACUAUGAAAAACAGGAAGCUGCUCGCUCAGUGGGGUGAAGAGGCAGAGAAGGGGAAACUUUCUUCCAAGCUCUUUCGGACUCCAAAGUUAAAAUUGCUAUAUUGAAGCAAGGACUGAUCAAGGAAACUUAAAGGGAUAAAAUUCAAGCAACUUCAUCCUUGCUGAGCGAGCAUCACGAAUUACCUUGCUGAGUUGCUUGCUUCAAUGAGCAACUUAGCGAGCAGGAGUACGAAAACACUUAUUUUUCAACUGCAGCUUGCUGGUUUGCUCGCUUUAGCGAGCGCAGCGAGCUUCUCGUAAAAAAGCCCAUAGAUUUUUUCAUUAAAAAGGGAAAGAAAAAGGCAAUUAGAAUCAAAUUUUCUACGACUUGGAGAGGAGAAAAAGCUCUGUUCUGGACUUGAGGAGCGGAGGAAAGGAUUAAGGUUUCACCAUGGUGAUCGACAAUUGAGUUCUUUCAUGAUUUUCUUUAGUUUUUCAUCUAUUGUCUUAGUUUUCUUGACUAUGUCAGGCUAUGUUUUCUUGUA